GAUGAACGCUGGCGGCAUGCCUAAUACAUGCCAGUCGAGCGAACGGACGAGAAGCUUGCUUCUCUGAUGUUAGCGGCGGACGGGUGAGUAACACGUGGAUAACCUACCUAUAAGACUGGGAUAACUUCGGGAAACCGGAGCUAAUGCCGGAUAAUAUUUUGAACCGCAUGGUUCAAAAGUGAAAGACGGUCUUGCUGUCACUUAUAGAUGGAUCCGCGCUGCAUUAGCUAGUUGGUAAGGUAACGGCUUACCAAGGCAACGAUGCAUAGCCGACCUGAGAGGGUGAUCGGCCACACUGGAACUGAGACACGGUCCAGACUCCUACGGGAGGCAGCAGUAGGGAACCUUCCGCAAUGGGCGAAAGCCUGACGGAGCAACGCCGCGUGAGUGAUGAAGGUCUUCGGAUCGUAAAACUCUGUUAUUAGGGAAGAACAUAUGUGUAAGUAACUGUGCACAUCUUGACGGUACCUAAUCAGAAAGCCACGGCUAACUACGUG
rnacentral:rRNA from 1 species